rnacentral:rRNA from 1 species
UGGGCGAAAGCCUGACCGAGCGACGCCGCGUGUGGGAUGAAGGCCCUCGGGUUGUAAACCACUGUCAACGGGGAGGAAAUACAGAAGGGCUAUCCCUUUUGUUUGACCUAUCUGUGGAGGAAGUACGGGCUAAGUUCGUGCCAGCAGCCGCGGUAAGACGAACCGUACAAACGUUAUUCGGAAUUACUGGGCUUAAAGGGUGCGUAGGCGGCGCGGACAGUUGGGUGUGAAAGCCCUCGGCUCAACCGAGGAAUUGCGCUCAAAACUACCGUGCUCGAGGGAGACAGAGGUAAGCGGAACUCAAGGUGGAGCGGUGAAAUGCGUUGAUAUCUUGAGGAACACCGGUGGCGAAGGCGGCUUACUGGGUCUUUUCUGACGCUGAGGCACGAAAGCCAAGGUAGCAAACGGGAUUAGAUACCCCGGUAGUCUUGGCUGUAAACGAUGAGCACUUGAUUGAAGGGUCCUCCAUAGCCUUUCAGUCGUAGCGAAAGUGUUAAGUGCUCCGCCUGGGGA